ACACGUAGGGGGCAAGCGUUAUCCGGAUUUACUGGGUGUAAAGGGAGCGCAGACGGCAGUGCAAGUCUGAAGUGAAAUACCGGGGCUCAACCCCGGGCUUGCUUUGGAAACUGUACAGCUGGAGUGCCGGAGGGGUAAGCGGAAUUCCUAGUGUAGCGGUGAAAUGCGUAGAUAUUAGGAGGAACACCGGUGGCGAAGGCGGCUUACUGGACGGCAACUGACGCUGAGGCUCGAAAGCGUGGGGAGCAAACAGGAUUAGAUACCCUGGUAGUCCACGCUGUAAACGAUGAUUACUAGGUGUGGGGGGACUGACCCCUUCCGUGCCGCAGCAAACGCAAUAAGUAUUCCACCUGGGGAGUACGAUCGCAAGAUUGAAACUCAAAUGAAUUGACGGGG
rnacentral:rRNA from 1 species